rnacentral:rRNA from 1 species
CAGAAUCCCCUCUAGACGUAACAAUACCGAAGCACCGAGGAUCUUUGGUUGGUCUCGGAUAGCCGGCUUCGGCCGCGUGAGGAGAGCCGUUCGUGACUGGGACGGGGUGCGGCCGAAUGAUGGUCGUCCCCCCCUGACAUGCACCGCAAUUUUGAGAACCGGGUGCUAAAUCACUUGAAAACGACCUGAUUCUGGGUCAGGGUUUUGUACGUGGCAGAGCAGCUCACUUGCUGCGAUCU